rnacentral:ncRNA from 2 species
CGCUUAUUAAGAAAGACGGAGGGAUUAGACCCAACGAAGUCUUAGCAACCUGUGUCCACACAAGGUGCUAAAUUCUAUCCCGGUUUUAAUCGGGGACAGAUAAGUU